rnacentral:rRNA from 1 species
UGCCAGCAGCCGCGGUAAUACGGAGGGGGUUAGCGUUGUUCGGAAUUACUGGGCGUAAAGCGUGCGUAGGCGGAUUAUUAAGUUAGGGGUGAAAUCCCGGGGCUCAACCUCGGAACUGCCUCUAAAACUGGUAAUCUAGAGAUAUGGAGAGGUAAGUGGAAUUCCUGGUGUAGCGGUGAAAUGCGUAGAGAUCUGAAGGAAUACCAGUGGCGAAGGCGGCCACCUGGCAAGUAACUGACGCUCAGAUGCGAAAGCGUGGGUAGCAAACGGGAUUAGAUA